GAUGAACGCUGGCGGCGUGCCUAAUACAUGCAAGUCGAGCGAACAGACGCGGAGCUUGCUCCUCUGACGUUAGCCGCGGACGGGUGAGUAACACGUGGAUACCCUACCUAUAAGACUGAGAACACUUCGGGAAACCGGCGCUAAUACCGGAUAAUAUAUUGAACCGCAUGGUUCAAUAGUGAAAGACGGUUUUGCUGUCACUUAUAGAUGGAUCCGCGCCGCAUUAGCUAGUUGGUAAGGUAACGGCUUACGACGGCAACGAUGCGUAGCCGACCUGAGAGGGUGAUCGGCCACACUGGAACUGAGACACGGUCCAGACUCCUACGGGAGGCAGCAGUAGGGAAUCUGCCGCAAUGGGCGAAAGUCUGACGGAGCAACGCCGCGUGAGUGAUGAAGGUCUUCGGAUCGUAAAACUCUGUUAUUAGGUAAGAACAAAUGUGUAAGUAACUAUGCACGUCUUGACGGUACCUAAUCAGAAAGCCACGGCUAACUACGUG
rnacentral:rRNA from 1 species